GGAUGCCAUGGGUCCAUCUCUCUGAAACUAAUGGGGCAGUCAAGAGAGGAUGCUGUGGAGGAGGAGGAGUGCUUUCUACAAAGGUGUUGAGGUCUGUGCCUAAGCUACCAUGAUUUGAGGGGUACUGUGUUCUUAUGGUCUCCUCCUGUCUCACACAGCCCAGGGCUCUACCAGUUGACUUUUUGUCCCUUCUUCUUGGCUCUGGGGAAGCCUGCACCCUCUCUCUACUACAACAGGGACCUACUGACUGCUUACUCCAUCCCACCCACAGCUUGGGCUCUAUUCUCAAUAGAGCAUCUCUCAGCCCUAGUCCUGGAGGUGAAAUGGAUACUUCUGGGCUUCUUUCUGCCACUAUAGGGUGGAUUGGGUUCCUGAAAUACAGCUGACCUCCAGAUGG
ensembl:lincRNA Gm10398 predicted gene 10398